GACGAACGCUGGCGGCGUGCCUAAUACAUGCAAGUAGAACGCUGAAGGAGGAGCUUGCUUCUCCGGAUGAGUUGCGAACGGGUGAGUACGCGUAGGUAACCUGCCUGGUAGCGGGGGAUAACUAUUGGAAACGAUAGCUAAUACCGCAUAAGAGUAGAUGUUGCAUGACAUUUGCUUAAAAGGUGCAAUUGCAUCACUACCAGAUGGACCUGCGUUGUAUUAGCUAGUUGGUGGGGUAACGGCUCACCAAGGCGACGAUACAUAGCCGACCUGAGAGGGUGAUCGGCCACACUGGGACUGAGACACGGCCCAGACUCCUACGGGAGGCAGCAGUAGGGAAUCUUCGGCAAUGGACGGAAGUCUGACCGAGCAACGCCGCGUGAGUGAAGAAGGUUUUCGGAUCGUAAAGCUCUGUUGUAAGAGAAGAACGAGUGUGAGAGUGGAAAGUUCACACUGAUGACGGUAUCUUAC
rnacentral:rRNA from 1 species